UACGUAGGGUGCGAGCGUUGUCCGGAAUUUUUGGGCGUAAAGGGCUCGUAGGCGGUUUGUCACGUCGGGAGUGAAAACUCGGGGCUUAACUCCGAGCCUGCUUCCGAUACGGGCUGACUAGAGGUAUGCAGGGGAGAACGGAAUUCCUGGUGUAGCGGUGAAAUGCGCAGAUAUCAGGAGGAACACCGGUGGCGAAGGCGGUUCUCUGGGCAUUACCUGACGCUGAGGAGCGAAAGUGUGGGGAGCGAACAGG
rnacentral:rRNA from 1 species